CCUGCAGCACAAAACCCCUCAGCUUCUGCUGGACACAGCUCUUUCUUUCCCCACCUGGAAGUUUUGGAUGAGCACAGGAAUUUCAGAGUGUUUGUCCGGCUUCCUGAGGGCUCCCAGCCCCGGAGACAGCGGUGCCAGAUGUUCCCUGAUAAAGGUUGUUCCCAUUCCCAACCCCUCAUGGCCAGUGCACAGGGGCUCCUGUUCUGGAGAUGAAAAAGCUGCUGAUUAAAAUGCAGCACCAACCAACAACCCCAGGCCCAUCCAGGUCCCACCAGCACGAGGGGAUUUGGGCUGGCACCUUUCCAGCAUUUCCAGAAACUCCCUUUAAAACUCUCUUCAUGGUGAGUGGCUGCUCCCUCCAAACCCAGGGGUGACACAGUCCCUGAAGAGCUGCUGACCCCACCAAAAUGUCAGUUCUCAGGGCAGACACCUGGGUACAUAAAAAGAAGUGGAAAUUCA